UACGUAGGGUCCGAGCGUUGUCCGGAAUUAUUGGGCGUAAAGGGCUCGUAGGCGGUCUGUUGCGUCGGGAGUGAAAACUUACAGCUUAACUGUGAGCGUGCCUCCGAUACGGGCAGACUUGAGGUAUUCAGGGGAGAACGGAAUUCCUGGUGUAGCGGUGAAAUGCGCAGAGUAUCAGGAGGAACACCGGUGGCGAAGGCGGGUCUCUGGGCCGAUACUGACGCUGAGGAGCGAAAGCGUGGGGAGCGAACAGG
rnacentral:rRNA from 1 species